rnacentral:rRNA from 1 species
GUGGGGAAUCUUGCGCAAUGGGCGAAAGCCUGACGCAGCCAUGCCGCGUGAAUGAUGAAGGUCUUAGGAUUGUAAAAUUCUUUCACCGGGGACGAUAAUGACGGUACCCGGAGAAGAAGCCCCGGCUAACUUCGUGCCAGCAGCCGCGGUAAUACGAAGGGGGCUAGCGUUGCUCGGAAUUACUGGGCGUAAAGGGCGCGUAGGCGGACAGUUUAGUCAGAGGUGAAAGCCCAGGGCUCAACCUUGGAAUUGCCUUUGAUACAGGCUGUCUUGAGUACGGGAGAGGUGAGUGGAACUCCGAGUGUAGAGGUGAAAUUCGUAGAUAUUCGGAAGAACACCAGUGGCGAAGGCGACUCACUGGCCCGUUACUGACGCUGAGGCGCGAAAGCGUGGGGAGCAAACAGGAUUAGAAACCCCGGUAGUCC